rnacentral:rRNA from 1 species
GUGGGGAAUAUUGGACAAUGGGCGAAAGCCUGAUCCAGCCAUGCCGCGUGUGUGAAGAAGGUCUUCGGAUUGUAAAGCACUUUAAGUUGGGAGGAAGGGCAGUAAGUUAAUACCUUGCUGUUUUGACGUUACCGACAGAAUAAGCACCGGCUAACUUCGUGCCAGCAGCCGCGGUAAUACGAAGGGCGCAAGCGUUAAUCGGAAUUACUGGGCGUAAAGCGCGCGUAGGUGGUUUUGUAAGUUGGAGGUGAAAUCCCCGGGCUCAACCUGGGAACUGCCUCCAAAACUGCAUGACUAGAGUACGGUAGAGGGUAGUGGAAUUUCCUGUGUAGCGGUGAAAUGCGUAGAUAUAGGAAGGAACACCAGUGGCGAAGGCGACUACCUGGACUGAUACUGACACUGAGGUUCGAAAGCGUGGGGAGCAAACAGGAUUAGAUACCCCAGUAGUCC